GCUUCCAGGUCAAGAAAGAUCAAGACUGAAAAUGUUUAUCAGAUUUAUAAUCGAGGAGGUCCUGGAUGACCUUGGCAAAAGCAACCCCAAUGGCAUGGGAAUGAAUGUUUACCAAGAUUAUGUUAGUACAGCUAGUGAGAUGCAGCACGCCAUCUUCAGCCCCCUUGCCUCUGGAAGAGACACCAGACUGCAAAGGGCACCGCGUACAGAAGCUAAUGGAACUUGAAUGAAAAGACAAAAAGAGCAGAACUGGUUAGUGUGACACAACAUUCUAACAUGCCUGAUUCUUACAUCGAAUAUGGUAACUUGAGGGUUGGUGGGGGAAGACAAACAAGGAAAAUCCACUUGGGAACAAUUUGAUGAAGUUUGCAAACCAGCAUUUUACCCCCAAAUUAACAACAGCUUGUAUGGAAAAAAAAAUGCUAUUUUAAAAGUAUACGGUUUGGACAGGUAUCUGUUUUCUCUUGCAGUUCUUGUAAAAAAGUAUCAAAACCUUGGCUUUAAAUAUAUAUAUAUACACACACACACACAAGUGGCUUUUUAAAAAUUACUUUUUAUAGCACAAAGUGUUUGUAAAUGCAGAGGUUUUCUGCUAAUUCUUGACUGUGCACAUGGUGCAUAGCCUGAAUGAACAGAGCUUCCUGAUUUUUUUUAACUGAAAAAUUGAAGCAGUAAUUCUUUAACCUUCUAAAUUUUCCAUACCCUAAAAAUACAGUGUGAGAAGACUGUUACUCUAUCUUCAUGCAUUUCGGGAAAAGGAAUUAUUUACUCUGAAA